AAACAAACAUCAUUCAAAUGCAUC
rnacentral:snRNA from 1 species